rnacentral:rRNA from 1 species
UACGUAGGGGGCAAGCGUUAUCCGGAUUUACUGGGUGUAAAGGGAGCGUAGACGGCGAUGCAAGUCAGAAGUGAAAGCCCGCGGCUCAACUGCGGGACUGCUUUUGAAACUGUAUAGCUUGAGUGCAGGAGAGGUAAGCGGAAUUCCUAGUGUAGCGGUGAAAUGCGUAGAUAUUAGGAGGAACACCAGUGGCGAAGGCGGCUUACUGGACUGUAACUGACGUUGAGGCUCGAAAGCGUGGGGAGCAA